AUUAUUACAUCCGAUAUUUUUUGUAUCAGCGUAAUCUCCAGUGAUAUCAUUGCAACCACCAUAGAACUGUUUCAUUAACCAUUGUAUUUGCCUGUUACACUGUCAAUAAGAAUUCAAUAACAGAAGGAUUCUCUCUAUUUGUUCCAAGAGACUCAUCGUGACACAAGAUGUGGCAAGGAUGGCCCUUUGAAUUGCAGGUACAACUCAUUUCUGCCAGCUAAGUGGACUGGAGCAACAUGAAUUAAAGUCUUCUGUUCAAGGACACAACGAGCCGCCGGCAAUGGAACUCAUAAUCUGCAAGUUUUGAAGAGUGCAGUUCGAUUUUAACAGCUAAUUUUUCAAAGCUAUAAUGGAAGUGACUUCAUAAAUUCAGUAAAGACAAGAACGCAACGGAAGCUGCGAGGAAUAUUAAUGCAGUAUAUGGGGAUCAGACAAUAAGCGUAAGCCAGUGUCAACGGUAGUUCCAGAAAUUCCGUGCCGGAAACUACAGCCUAGAAGAUGAGCCUUGUCCUGGAAGAUCUGCAGAACUUGACGAGAACGUCUUGCAGGCCCUGGUGGAACAAAAUCUCAUCGUUACUUGGAUUUGGUCAUUCAAUAUAGCGCACUUUUCUGUCCCAAAUUCCACACCUAUGUCAUCUGAGGAAAAUGCGGGUGUGGUCUAUUACUUUAUUGUUCUCGUCCUAUUUUAAUGACUCGGAUGAAAAUCGAUCUUUAUUCACAUUUUAACGACUGAACCUCCAAUUUUUGAUUUAAUUACAUGAAAUAGAGAAUACGACCAAAAGUUCACUUAAUCGAAUCUAUCCAGCUUCAGUGAUGUUAAGCUCUGAAAGAAAUAUACUUUCGCAGGAACAUUCUCAACCUUUUUCAAUCUGUGUUAGAAAUUUUUUUUUUUUUUUU